rnacentral:rRNA from 1 species
UACGUAGGGAGCAAGCGUUGUCCGGAAUCAUUGGGCGUAAAGCGCGCGUAGGCGGCCCUGUAAGUCCGUUGUGAAAGUCAAAGGCUCAACCUUUGAAAGCCGAUGGAUACUGCAGGGCUAGAGUCCGGAAGAGGCGAGUGGAAUUCCUGGUGUAGCGGUGGAAUGCGCAGAUAUCAGGAGGAACACCAAUAGCGAAGGCAGCUCGCUGGGACGGUACUGACGCUAAGGGCGCGAAAAGCGUGGGGAGCGAACAGGAU